GGUUAAGCGACUAAGCGUACACGGUGGAUGCCCUGGCAGUCAGAGGCGAUGAAGGACGUGCUAAUCUGCGAUAAGCGUCGGUAAGGUGAUAUGAACCGUUAUAACCGGCGAUUUCCGAAUGGGGAAACCCAGUGUGAUUCGUCACACUAUCAUUAACUGAAUCCAUAGGUUAAUGAGGCGAACCGGGGGAACUGAAACAUCUAAGUACCCCGAGGAAAAGAAAUCAACCGAGAUUCCCCCAGUAGCGGCGAGCGAACGGGGAGCAGCCCAGAGCCUGAAUCAGUGUGUGUGUUAGUGGAAGCGUCUGGAAAGGCGCGCGAUACAGGGUGACAGCCCCGUACACAAAAAUGCACAUGCUGUGAGCUCGAUGAGUAGGGCGGGACACGUGGUAUCCUGUCUGAAUAUGGGGGGACCAUCCUCCAAGGCUAAAUACUCCUGACUGACCGAUAGUGAACCAGUACCGUGAGGGAAAGGCGAAAAGAACCCCGGCGAGGGGAGUGAAAAAGAACCUGAAACCGUGUACGUACAAGCAGUGGGAGCCUCUUUAUGGGGUGACUGCGUACCUUUUGUAUAAUGGGUCAGCGACUUAUAUUCUGUAGCAAGGUUAACCGAAUAGGGGAGCCGAAGGGAAACCGAGUCUUAACUGGGCGUUAAGUUGCAGGGUAUAGACCCGAAACCCGGUGAUCUAGCCAUGGGCAGGUUGAAGGUUGGGUAACACUAACUGGAGGACCGAACCGACUAAUGUUGAAAAAUUAGCGGAUGACUUGUGGCUGGGGGUGAAAGGCCAAUCAAACCGGGAGAUAGCUGGUUCUCCCCGAAAGCUAUUUAGGUAGCGCCUCGUGAACUCAUCUCCGG
rnacentral:rRNA from 1 species